GAAACGCGAUAGUUAAUGUGAAUUGCAGAAUUCAGUGAAUCAUCGAGUCUUUGAACGCACAUUGCGCCUUUUGGUAUUCCGAGAGGCACGCCUGUCUGAGCGUCAGUAAUACCUUCGGUUUGACGAUUUAUUGUCUCGCCGGCGUUGGCGGUUUUGGGAAACGUGGGGCAACCCGCGCCAUUCCGUUUAAACACUGACAGCGGGGUCAAGUUUAGGCAUACCCAUCGAUUAGUAGAAAUAUUCAUCUUUGAUAACCUAGACUUCCCGCAAUACAAAAUAGGGCUAACCCCUUGCAAAAGGGGUAAAACCCAUCAAUUUUGACCUCAGAUCAGACGAGGAUACCCGCUGAACUUAA
rnacentral:misc_RNA from 1 species